UUUAAUUCGAAGCAACGCGAAGAACCUUACCUGGUCUUGACAUCCCUCUGACUGGUGAGUAAUGUCACCUUUCUUUCGGGACAGAGGAGACAGGUGGUGCAUGGUUGUCGUCAGCUCGUGUCGUGAGAUGUUGGGUUAAGUCCCGCAACGAGCGCAACCCUUAUCCUUAGUAGCCAGCAGGUAAAGCUGGGGACUCUAGGGAGACUGCCGGGGAUAACCCGGAGGAAGGUGGGGAUGACGUCAAAUCAUCAUGCCCCUUAUGACCAGGGCUACACUCGUGCUACAAUGGCGUAAACAGAGGGAAGCGAAGGGGAGACUUGGAGCAAAUCCCAAAAAUAACGUCUCAGUUCGGAUUGUAGUCUGCAACUCGACUACAUGAAGCUGGAAUCGCUAGUAAUCGCGAAUCAGAAUGUCG
rnacentral:rRNA from 1 species